GUAGGCAGCGAGCGUUGUUCGGAGUUACUGGGCGUAAAGGGUGUGUAGGCGGUGGCUUAAGUUUGGUGUGAAAUCUCCCGGCUCAACUGGGAGGGUGCGCCGAAUACUGAGUUGCUCGAGUGCGGGAGAGGAGAGUGGAAUUCCUGGUGUAGCGGUGAAAUGCGUAGAUAUCAGGAGGAACACCGGUGGUGUAGACGGCUCUCUGGACCGUAACUGACGCUGAGACACGAAAGCGUGGGUAGCAAACAGGAUUAGAUACCCUGGUAGUCCACGCCGUAAACGAUGUGUGCUAGCUGUUGGAGUCCUUAGGGCUUCGGCGGCGCAGCAAAAGCAUUAAGCACACCGCCUGGGGAGUACGGCCGCAAGGUUA
rnacentral:rRNA from 1 species